CUGCACACCCCCUUCCAAAUGUCCCCUCCUAUCGAACCCUUCUCCUCUGCAGAGACUAUAGAAACAAUCAGUCGCCUAAACCCCAAGAAAGCAGCAGGACACGACCUAAUAGGCAAUAAAGCAAUCAAGGAACUUCCCACAAAAGGGAUAGCACUCAUCACAUCGAUUUUUAAUGCUAUCCUUCGCCUGAAACACUAUCCUAAGGCCUGGAAAAUCUCAUUGAUUACCCUCAUCCCUAAACCCGGUAAACCGAUAUACGAAAUCAGCUCCUAUCGCCCAAUCAGUCUUUUACCUACCCUGUCCAAACUAUUCGAGAAGAUGCUCACGAACCGACUCCUUCCAAUCCUAGAGAACUUGAAAACACUCCCAGAUCACCAAUUCGGCUUCCAAAAACAUCAUUCUACAGUAGAGCAAAUCCACCGCUUAACUCAUACGAUCAGCCAAACACUCGAAAAGAAAAAAUAUUGCUCAGCGGUUUUCCUAGACAUCCAACAGGCAUUCGACAAAGUAUGGCAUGAAGGGCUACUAUACAAGCUUAAAAAGAUCCUACCUCACCCCUACUACUCCAUCCUAAAAUCUUACCUAACCAAUAGACAAUUCAUGGUUAAAUGCCUAGACGCCACUUCCGCAACAUUCCCAAUAGAGCCGGCAUACCCCAAGGUAGUGUCCUCGGACCCCUACUGUACUCCAUCUACACUGCCGACCUACCUAUAUCAAACGAUAUAACAAUAGCGACAUUUGCAGACAACACAGCGCUAUUAGCUACCCACGCAGACCCGGUAAUAGCCUCAUCCACUCUCCAGCGAAGUCUCGACUCCAUGGAAAAGUGGUUUCACAAAUGGGGCUUCAAAGUCAACGAAAAGAAAUCCUCACAUGUAACCUUCACGCUCCGAAAACAAACCUGCCCCCAGGUCACCAUCAACAAUGCAACAGUUCCUAGCAGGGACACAGUCCGAUACCUGGGCAUGACCCUGGACAGGAGACUAACGUGGAAGACACACAUCUCAGAUAAAACGAAGCAACUAAAGGACAAACUAAAAAAACUCUAUUGGCUCACGGGCCGACGCUCCAAACUAAACAUACAGAAUAAAAUUACCCUCUACAAGACCGUAAUAAAACCUGUCUGGACCUACGGAAUCCAACUAUAGGGAACAGCAAGUAACUCCAACAUCGAAAUACUACAACGAUUCCAAUCGAAAACGCUAAGAGCCUUAAUAGACGCACCUUGGUAUGUUACCAACGAAACCAUCCAUCGCGACCUCAAGAUACCUACAGUCAAAGAGGAAAUAGCAAAAUAUAGCGACAGAUAUAGCAAAAGAGUCAAGAAACACCGAAACCCCCUAAUCACUGGACUAGUCGAUACGAUGGACCAGAUUCGCAGGCUGAAGAGGCACUACCCGCUAGACCUAAACGUUAGAUUCAUUUAAUUAUCCAAAUUAAGCAUAUGCACUUACUUAUAAUACUUAUAAAUUAUACCUAUCUAUAAUAAGUAUUAACUUAUUGUAAAUAAACAGCCAUGUCACUGCGCCACGCCAGAAAAAUUACUGAAAAUUCUCAACGCGAGAAUUGAUUGUAAUUUCAACAAAUAAAUAAAAAAAAAAAAACCUCCAAACUCUUCAAUUCUCUCCACCUAACCACCCACAAACCAUUCACAAACAUGCAAUUCUCGACAAAAGAAGAACUUAUCGUCAGUUGUCCUUAACAUCUUGUUCAUUCAUUUGGUCCCUAUCCCCCUAUUUCCUCCCACUGCGAUGAUCGCACUACAUUUUUCCACGUCUCUAUUCUAUUCUCUGGAUGACCUGAAUUCUCGAGCAGUCGAGUGACGAUUGAUCUGUACAAUUGAUCGAUUUCUUUUUACUACAGACAUGCAAGAAAUUCCGUGUUGGAGAGCGAUGUUGCGAGUUCGAGUACCUGGACCAUCUGAAGAACGUUACCGGAACUGGUAUAGUUUUUGUCGUUGAUGAUAAGAAUUCCUCCACGACUCAGCAACAAGAGCUACUCUGGGUGAUGAGCUUAAUGGUGCUGUUGCGGUUAUUUUAAUUUUUCAACAAGGAUCCAGAUGGCGCCGUUGACGAAAUUUUUUCAUUAUAAACGUCAACGAUCAACAUCAGCCAUCAGGGAACGAAGAAGGUACGCUGUAACGUGUCUGAGUAAUUAUACCUCGAGGAGUACAUACAGUUAUGUAAUGAAGAUUCGUAUGUGAGUGUUUGUUUUCUUAUUUCUUUUCCCUUUGUUUCAUUUGAAUGGAUUUUUGUACUCAAAGAGCGAGUUGACUGUAUGGUGGAUGUAUCUAAUGGUGCUGUAGUUGACUGUAUGUUGUUCAAUAUUGCUAUGAAACUCUUCUGAUUCAUUGUCACUUAUACGAAGGAUGGAAGUAUACGAAAUUGAUAAAAUUAUUAAUAAUAUUUACGAAGAGAAAGUAAACUGUUGGAUAUAUGACAAAAUAAUUCUAUUUUAAAUAAGAGA